rnacentral:rRNA from 1 species
UAGGGAAUCUUCCACAAUGGACGCAAGUCUGAUGGAGCAACGCCGCGUGAGUGAAGAAGGUUUUCGGACCGUAAAGCUCUGUUGUUGGUGAAGAAGGAUAGAGGUAGUAACUGGCCUUUAUUUGACGGUAAUCAACCAGAAAGUCACGGCUAACUACGUGCCAGCAGCCGCGGUAAUACGUAGGUGGCAAGCGUUGUCCGGAUUUAUUGGGCGUAAAGCGAGCGCAGGCGGAAGAAUAAGUCUGAUGUGAAAGCCCUCGGCUUAACCGAGGAAUUGCAUCGGAAACUGUUUUUCUUGAGUGCAGAAGAGGAGAGUAGAACUCCAUGUGUAGCGGUGGAAUGCGUAGAUAUAUGGAAGAAUACCAGUGGCGAAGGCGGCUCUCUGGUCUGCAAACUGACGCUGAGGCUCGAAAAGCAUGGGUAGCGAACAGGAUUAGAUACCCUGGUAGUCCAUGCCGUAAAACGAUGAGUGCUAAGUGUUGGGAGGCUUCCGCCUCUCAGUGCUGCAGCUAAACGCAUUAAGCACUCCGCCUGGGGGAGUACGACCGCAAGGUUGAAAC